UGGGGAAUUUUGGACAAUGGGCGAAAGCCUGAUCCAGCAAUGCCGCGUGUGUGAAGAAGGCCUUCGGGUUGUAAAGCACUUUUGUCCGGAAAGAAAUGGCUCUGGUUAAUACCUGGGGUCGAUGACGGUACCGGAAGAAUAAGGACCGGCUAACUACGUGCCAGCAGCCGCGGUAAUACGUAGGGUCCAAGCGUUAAUCGGAAUUACUGGGCGUAAAGCGUGCGCAGGCGGUUGUGCAAGACCGAUGUGAAAUCCCCGAGCUUAACUUGGGAAUUGCAUUGGUGACUGCACGGCUAGAGUGUGUCAGAGGGGGGUAGAAUUCCACGUGUAGCAGUGAAAUGCGUAGAGAUGUGGAGGAAUACCGAUGGCGAAGGCAGCCCCCUGGGAUAACACUGACGCUCAUGCACGAAAGCGUGGGGAGCAAACAGGAUUAGAUACCCUGGUAGUCCACGCCCUAAACGAUGUCAACUAGUUGUUGGGGAUUCAUUUCCUUAGUAACGUAGCUAACGCGUGAAGUUGACCG
rnacentral:rRNA from 1 species